rnacentral:rRNA from 1 species
GACAGAGGGUGCAAACGUUGUUCGGAAUUACUGGGCGUAAAGCGAGUGUAGGCGGUGUGGUAAGUCGGAUGUGAAAGCCCCGGGCUCAACCCGGGAAGUGCACUCGAUACUGCCACGCUAGAGUAUCGGAGAGGUUAGUGGAAUUCUCGGUGUAGAGGUGAAAUUCGUAGAUAUCGAGAGGAACACCGGUGGCGAAGGCGGCCAACUGGACGAAUACUGACGCUGAGACUCGAAAGCGUGGGGAGCAAACAGG